rnacentral:rRNA from 1 species
UACGUAGGGUGCAAGCGUUGUCCGGAAUUAUUGGGCGUAAAGAGCUCGUAGGCGGUUUGUCGCGUCUGCUGUGAAAACUCGGGGCUUAACUCCGGGCCUGCAGUGGGUACGGGCAGACUAGAGUGCGGUAGGGGAGACUGGAAUUCCUGGUGUAGCGGUGAAAUGCGCAGAUAUCAGGAGGAACACCGGUGGCGAAGGCGGAUCUCUGGGCCAUAACUGACGCUGAGGAGCGAAAGCAUGGGGAGCGAACAGG